rnacentral:rRNA from 1 species
CGCUAACACUCCUACGGGAGGCAGCAGUGGGGAAUAUUGCACAAUGGGGGAAACCCUGAUGCAGCCAUGCCGCGUGUGUGAAGAAGGCCUUCGGGUUGUAAAGCACUUUCAGUAGGGAGGAAGGUAGUGUAGUUAACACCUGCAUUAUUUGACGUUACCUACAGAAGAAGCACCGGCUAACUCCGUGCCAGCAGCCGCGGUAAUACGGAGGGUGCGAGCGUUAAUCGGAAUUACUGGGCGUAAAGCGCAUGCAGGCGGCCUGUUAAGUCAGAUGUGAAAGCCCGGGGCUUAACCUCGGAAUUGCAUUUGAAACUGGCAGGCUAGAGUCUUGUAGAGGGGGUAGAAUUUCAGGUGUAGCGGUGAAAUGCGUAGAGAUCUGAAGGAAUACCAGUGGCGAAGGCGGCCCCCUGGACAAAGACUGACGCUCAGAUGCGAAAGCGUGGGGAGCAAACAGGAUUAGAUACCCUGGUAG